rnacentral:rRNA from 1 species
UACGGAGGAUCCGAGCGUUAUCCGGAUUUAUUGGGUUUAAAGGGUGCGCAGGCGGGAGAUUAAGUCGGCGGUGAAAUUUUGCGGCUCAACUGUAAAAGUGCCUUCGAAACUGGUUUCCUUGAGUGUAGAUGAAGUAGGCGGAAUUUGUGGUGUAGCGGUGAAAUGCAUAGAUAUCACGAGGAACUCCGAUUGCGCAGGCAGCUUACUAAACUACUACUGACGCUCAGGCACGAAGGCGUGGGGAUCAAACAGGAUUAGAUACCCCCGGUAGUCCCU